CCAGAAGCUUCGUACACGCUCUCCCUCUUCAUUGGUUAUCUCGAAUUACUGAGUGAUUUCGAACAUCAACGAAGCCCCUGCAACUGAUCUCGCACACUUACUGGAUUGAUGACCUGAAGGGAUAAGAUUCAUCUUUGUGUAGAACUGACAGUAAGCUCUAUGAUAGAAAUGGAUGCACAACAACGGAUGUGUAGCUGUGGAGAGGUGAUGGUCAUCCGAACUUCUCAAACAGCGCGGAAUCCUGGACGAAGAUUUUACAGAUGUUCGGUAGGCGGAAAACAUCCGGGAUGUUUUAUUUGGUUGGACCCAGUAUCGAGGAAUUAUACUGAGACUGUAGACACAGGAACAUGUUAUUCAACAGAAAGUGUUAAUAGGAACACACGGGUCAUCUCAGCUAUUCGUCAAGCCUCCUAUAGUCCACAAGUGCAGAAACAAAUACUAGUGGACCAGUCGUUGCUCAACCAUUAUUAUGGUUUAACCAUCUUCCUAUGUAUUUGGGUGUUAAUUCUCUCGUGCUAUGUCUUUUAUGUAACGGCCUUGUAAAUAGUACUAAAGUCUAUUUCAUAUUAUGUAUGGAGUAAAUACAAGAUCAAGACUUUAUGUAAGACUUCAUAAUUUUUUUUUCC